rnacentral:rRNA from 1 species
UACGUAGGGUGCAAGCGUUGUCCGGAAUUAUUGGGCGUAAAGAGCGUGUAGGCGGCCAUACAGGUCCGUUGUGAAAACUGGAGGCUUAACCUCCAGACGUCGGUGGAAACCGCAUGGCUAGAGUCCGGAAGAGGAGAGUGGAAUUCCCGGUGUAGCGGUGAAAUGCGCAGAUAUCGGGAAGAGCACCCGUGGCGAAGGCGGCUCUCUGGGACGGUACUGACGCUGAGACGCGAAAGCGUGGGGAGCGAACAGG